CAAUACAGAGGCUGGCGACCGGCAAACGGGUGCGGAACACGUACACAACCUUCCUUUAAGUGGGGAAUAGCCCGGGGAAACCCGGAUUAAUACCCCGUAAUAUAAUGAAGUGGCAUCACUUUAUUAUUAUAGCAGCAAUGCGCUUAUAGAUGGGUGUGCGACUGAUUAGGCAGUUGGCGGGGUAACGGCCCACCAAACCUACGAUCAGUAACUGGUGUGAGAGCACGACCAGUCACACGGGCACUGAGACACGGGCCCGACUCCUACGGGAGGCAGCAGUAAGGAAUAUUGGUCAAUGGACGCAAGUCUGAACCAGCCAUGCCGCGUGGAGGAUGAAGGUCCUCUGGAUUGUAAACUUCUUUUAUCUGGGAAGAAAUCCACGAAUUCUUUUGUGGUUGACGGUACCAGAUGAAUAAGCACCGGCUAACUCCGUGCCAGCAGCCGCGGUAAUACGGAGGGUGCAAGCGUUAUCCGGAUUCACUGGGUUUAAAGGGUGCGUAGGUGGGCAGGUAAGUCAGUGGUGAAAUCUCCGGGCUUAACUCGGAAACUGCCAUUGAUACUAUCUGUCUUGAAUACCGUGGAGGUCAGCGGAAUAUGUCAUGUAGCGGUGAAAUGCUUAGAUAUGACAUAGAACACCAAUUGCGAAGGCAGCUGGCUACACGAAUAUUGACACUGAUGCACGAAAGCGUGGGGAUCAAACAGGAUUAGAUACCCUGGUAGUCCACGCCCUAAACGAUGGAUACUCGACAUACGCGAUAUACUGUGUGUGUCUGAGCGAAAGCAUUAAGUAUCCCACCUGGGAAGUACGAUCGCAAGAUUG
rnacentral:rRNA from 1 species